rnacentral:lncRNA from 1 species
AUCAUUAAACUUUGAAAUUUUUGUGAAAAAAAUUAUAAACAAAAUUCAUUAAUAUUAUUAUGAAUUGCUUGAGUCAUUGUCCUUUCUUAUUGGUUAAUCCAAUUUUCAUUAACCAUAAGAUUAAAUAAUAGCUAUGUGAGAACCAAAAAAACUUAGUAGAUAUGGACUUGGCCGCUUGGGCAAAGCAUUUUAGAUGUUCUUUUAGCCGAAAAA